rnacentral:rRNA from 1 species
GGGGCAAGCGUUGCUCGGAAUUACUGGGCGUAAAGGGCGCGUAGGCGGAAUGGCAAGUCGGUCGUGAAAUCCUUCGGCUCAACCGAAGAACGUCGAUCGAAACUGCCGUUCUUGAGGAUUGCAGAGGAGACUGGAAUUCCCGGUGUAGCGGUGAAAUGUGUAGAGAUCGGGAGGAACACCGGUGGCGAAGGCGGGUCUCUGGGCAAUUCCUGACGCUGAGGCGCGAAAGCGUGGGGAGCAAACGGG